UGAGUGAGAGGCGGGACCUUCACCAAGCAGGAAGUCCAACCUUCUUCCUGCAAAACAGCCUCAAAGACGCCGGCCAUGCUUCUUGGUAAGAAGAGACUCAGUCUGAUGACAUCAUCACACUGAUGUGUAAUGUCUACAUUACAUUAUUAUUAGUUGAUCGGUAAGAGAAAUAAAACAUGACCAUUGAAGCACAAACAGUGUUUGAGUUGAUUUGUGAUCAGCGAGCAGAACCUGUUUCCUUGUUCCUGUUUCUUCGUGCGACUUUAGAGUGAUGUCACAGUUGGUGUAGUGAUGUCACAGCGGGGGGCAGGGCGAGGAGCCUUGAUGAGCUUUCCCCCGGCUGCUCAGAGGAGGUCGAUUGGGCCGCCGUUACUUGGCAACCAAGAACCACGCGGUCGCCGGCCCCCGGGAGGCGAAUCGGUGCGCUUGAUUGGUGACCUCCUUCUGAUUGGACGCAGGGCGACUCACCAAUCAGCCUGAUUGCACAAUCUGGAUGACUUUGGACAAAUCAAACUCUCUGGACUGCAAAGCUUCCAUCCAGGAGGUUCUACGUCUUCACAGGUGCUUGCAGUCAAUCGAUGGAGCAGCUCACUUGUGAGGGAACGUGUGCGACAGCAGACAUGGAGGACGAGGCCGCUUCAUCUCACAAAUUCUUCACAUUCAGCACAUUUUCCUCACCGUCCUUCUUUCCGUUGCCUCAUCAGAGGAGUUAAAAAUGACUCAGGGACUAAAUAAAGACCUGACAGAUGUUCCCCUGACAUCCAGAUGUCUAUUCCCACCCCUCACCCCCCCCCCCACAAUCGACAGGAUUUAAAGUUGGGGAAUUCGGGACAGUUCUCAGAUUGCAACCUCUGCUUCCUUGGCCGGUUCAAUGAAGCGGCGAUUAUGUUCUGCGUGUAUCGGGUUCCUGGGGGGGGACAAAGAGGCGCUUGUGUCUCACCUGGAGCUUUGUCCUGCCUGGUGAGGCCGACCCACAGCAGGAAACAGGCCCAGGUCCGGAUGGCCGCCAUGACGUCACCUCUUCAGUCCACAGAGAGAAGAGUCGGCUCUUCAGUCCAUGCUGCCGGCUUCAGCUCGCCCCGCUUCGUCUGCUUCUUC
ensembl:lncRNA